rnacentral:rRNA from 1 species
UACGUAGGUGGCAAGCGUUACUCGGAAUCACUAGGCGUAAAGCGCAGGUAGGCGGUUCGAUAAGUCUUUUGUGAAAGCUCCUGGCUCAACUGGGAGAGGUCAAGGGAAACUGUCGAGCUAGAGUGUGGCAGAGGAAGCUGGAAUUCCCGGUGUAGCGGUGAAAUGCGUAGAUAUCGGGAGGAAUGCCUAUGGCGAAAGCAGGCUUCUGGCCCAUCUCUGACGCUGAUCUGCGACAGCUAGGGGAGCUAGCAGG